ensembl:lncRNA
GGUGAAUGGCUGCCCCACAGCACUGUAUUCCCUCAUUUAACACAUCAUAAAAAAGAAAAAUACAUCUACACUGAUGGGUGUGGUGGUCUGGAAGGUGAGGUAACGUGUGUUCAGGUAAAUUCAAAUUUUCGUAGCGGAAAAACAGGAGCUCCACUGACUGAAAUGAACCGCGACAAGUUAACAGUUAGCAGGCCAGGUGUGCCAUGCAUGAAUACACCUGCACUCCUUACACACACACCUUACACACAGACGCACUGCAUAGCACAAACCUGACUUACGGAUAUGAUCAACAUUCCAAGCUCCUCUUUGAUGGAUUUUUUAUUUAUUUAUGAUGUGUCAAAUGAGGCAAUACAAGGCUGUGGGUCAGCCGUUCCCCAAAAACGAACAAAAAAAUAAACAGAAUAAAGAAUAAAAUAACAUUGCUGAUACGCUCACUGUACCACCAGCUCAACACACACUAACACCUCAUACACCACCUCAUACACAAGCAUCCUAGGAUAUAAGCAAUCACUGCCUGGAUCUUUAUUCCAAGAAAAGCGGAAAUAGGUUUCCAUAAUUAACCAUCCAGAUCAAACAGCUUUUUAUAUUGUGAUACUUUUAUUCUAUAACAGUCACGAGAGCAUUUCAUCAUUUCAUCAUACACACCGCGCCACACACACACACACACUCAGGAAGCCAGGAAGCGGACAGCGGUGCUGCAGCCACCACUCGGCUGUCUGCAGUCCUGGUCUCUCCAUAUACAGGGUUUUCUGACCAGCAGCAGACAAAGACUCACAACACAUAUAAAGAUGCUGAUCGGCUGUGACUUCCUUUUCCUACUCUUUUCCCUACUCCAUACACUUUUACCACUUGUGGCUGCACUUAGUGACUGCUAUGUGGAUCAUCUUUCAAAUAGCAUCGUGUAUCUCCUAAAAGAGUCCAUAGAUUCCUGUGAUAGCUACAACUGGAUGGUGAAUGAAACAGUCGUGGCAAAUGAAGACAGCUUUAAUCGCACAUUAGUUCAAAGCCGAGGACGGAGUAACAUUACAUUCUUCUCCUGUCACAACACUGUUACAUACAAGAAUGUGUGCAACAGGGUGAGUAAUACCAUGAUUAAUAUUUGAUAAUGAUGAUGAUAUGGAGUCAAAAAUGAUGAUGAAUGUCAAAAUGUCACAUAGACAUUCAGUGGAAGUGAAUGCAAAGAUUUUAUUCAUUUAGUAUUUCCUAAUUGUACGGUCCAUUAAUCAUUAUUUUUUUAUAUAUAGAACAACUAUCAGACUCACAAAGUAAAAUAUGUUAAUAAGUCAAGAGAUACAGUAAUCAGUAAAAAGAUUUUACUGGAAAUUAAUGAUAUCAUUGAUGAUACUGUAUCAUCUCCACAGAUGACCAUGAACUGCUCUGGUAAGUAAAAUGCAAUUUCCUUCAUAAAUCACACAUUAAAAAUAAUUAUUUAUGCAUAAAAUCAGUUCAAGCUUUUUGUAAUAUGAUUUCCAAAAUUUUUAUCAAAUAAAAAAGAAAAGAAAAGUGUGACA